rnacentral:rRNA from 1 species
ACGAAGGGUGCAAGCGUUACUCGGAAUUACUGGGCGUAAAGCGUGCGUAGGUGGUUUGUUAAGUCCGAUGUGAAAGCCCUGGGCUCAACCUGGGAAUGGCAUUGGAUACUGGCAGGCUAGAGUGCGGUAGAGGGGUGUGGAAUUCCCGGUGUAGCAGUGAAAUGCGUAGAGAUGUGGAGGAACACCAAUGGCGAAGGCAGCCUUCUGGGCCAACACUGACGCUCAUGCACGAAAGCGUGGGGAGCAAACAGGA